UUGCCCAAUUCAGCAGCACACACACUAAAAUUGGAAUAAUACAGAGAAGAUUAGCAUGGCCCCUGUAUGAGGAUGACAUUCAAAUUCAUGAAGCAUUCCAUAUUUUU
ensembl:snRNA U6 U6 spliceosomal RNA